rnacentral:tRNA from 1 species
UGGGGCUUCGCCAAGCUGGUUAAGGCACUGGAUUUUGAUUCCAGCAUACCCAGGUUCGAAUCCUGGAGCCCCAGCCA